CUGCCCGCCAACAGCAGCAGACUCUUAAAGCGUGGAUGCACCCAUUUAAAGGCGGAGAUUUGGUCCCACUCGCACUCGGCGGUUUACCUUUCCUUUUUUUUAAAUUUGAGGAUGUUGUGAAUUAACCGCUGAUUUUUUUUUUGGGGGGUGGGGGAGUGAUUUAAUUGUUGGAAAUGACGAAAUUGCAGAAGCCGGUGAAAACAAACAUCUUCCAUUUUAGACAAUGUUUGCAAGUGUAUAGGGUCUGUUCGUGAAGGUGAUCUUUUGCAAAAGCCCGUUUAUGAAAAUAAUUGAUCUCAAUUAAGUGUCUAUUAGUUCAGGCAAAGGAAAAUUGAUGCCAAUAGAAGUAUCAUCAAUGAAAUAAACGCACAAAGAAACAUUUAGAUCCUUUCAACCAGACCUAAAAUAAAUAGAGAGGAUUAGAAAUGAAAUGAAAAAUUACAUAAGCCGGAAGGUUGGUUUCACGAGUUGUCUGAACCUGUAUUUUAUGUACUCUUGAUUUUUGUGUUGCUGGUUUCAGAUUACAAACCAGACAAAGGAUUAAUAAGAGGGGACACUUGUCCUUUAGACACCCAGCCUUCCAAAACAGUUCAAAGCCAAACUGAAAUGAAAUAUACGCAUAAACGUGUAAGUAUCUUCAAUAAAAUAAAAUAUAUAGAUGACAGCCUUUUUACAUCUUGUUUUAACCCCCUAGGAUAAGACUUUAUGGCACUUUCUUUAAACGAUAGACCAUUUCAUACAGGAUAUAUGGAUCGACUAGCAGUUGUUUGUUUCCAAUGAUUAUUUCUGAAAUAUGGUCUUCCCAUGACUCAAUUGUUUUCUGACCCAAUCUACAUACAUUGUAAGUGACUGUAGCAUUUGAGAUGCCUCAUAUCGUGCAGCAAUACAUUUAUAUCAGUGUUAAUUAUAUAAUCCUUACCACAAUGUCCAUUUCCUGUAAAUAGAUGUUGAUUAUUGCUCGCUAACACUACAUCGCAUGUAUCCAUAUUUAGCCACCACCAGGUUCAAGGUCUAUGCAUCAUAUUCACCAUGAUUAACUUCUUAAACGGCAACCUUUAAGAUUAUCACCAUGUGGUAUUAAAAACCCAACAUAUAUCAUGUGUUUAGUCAAAAAGUACAUGUCAAUAGGAGCAGUGGAAUUCAUAUGUCUAUGUGACUCAGUGGCAGAAAUGGGUGAAUGAAUCAACAGCCGUAAGAAGAAAUGUAGAAAUAAACAAUAUUACAGCUCAAAGUAAAAUUAUUAAAAUUGGGAAGGAUUUAAUUAAUUUAAGGUGCUUUUAUCAAUGUGAAAUAAUUUGAUCUACUGAGAUGAACUGUUGAUCAACCACAUGGUGGGCUAAUAAGUAUCUUCUUGAAAAUUAUCUUAUGAUAGGAUUAAAUACAUUGCUCUCCAGGUUCCUUACAUUGAGGGAAUGGUUUGAAGUGGCACCUUUUAGUACAAGUAAAGCUGAAC